CCGGGCCGACGCGCGCAAACGCCGCUGAUGCGUUCCGUGAGCCGUCGCGCGUCCGCGCACUGCACACCCACCCU
rnacentral:tRNA from 1 species